rnacentral:rRNA from 1 species
UUCCGCAAUGGACGAAAGUCUGACGGAGCAACGCCGCGUGAGUGAUGAAGGUUUUCGGAUCGUAAAGCUCUGUUGUUAGGGAAGAACAAGUGCCGUUCAAAUAGGGCGGCACCUUGACGGUACCUAACCAGAAAGCCACGGCUAACUACGUGCCAGCAGCCGCGGUAAUA